CAGGAGCCAGAGCAGCACGGAGCUCUGAUGAGGUGGGGCUGGAGAAAUGCCCAUCCCCAAGUCCAUCAGCGGGUGUUGCUGGAGAAGAAAGGGCCUGGGCCAGGGGUACAAGCGCCCAAUUUUACAGACAGUUGUGGAGCUCCGUGCCAGGGCACCCUUGUGAGAAAAAGAGAGACACCACAAGCAGCUGCAAAACCCAUCCAGAUCUACCCAGAGCCAAGCCUGGAACAACCAUGAGGAAACUGGAUUCAUCAAAGGCAGCACCCAGCACUACCUGGCCUUCUUUCCUAUCUCGGGUUGGACUCACAGAUGCGCUGCAAACCUAGAUCCCUGGGACGCAGUGAACCCCUGAAGGAGCCGCCUGUCCUAAUCUGUGUGACCCUCUCAAAGACCUGUUCACAGAGCUGAGAGCAUUUCCACACACAGGUGACCCUUGGCUGGUGGGUCAGCAGCUGCAACUUACCUUGUACAUGUGGCACAGCCCGGGACGGCUGCGGGCAUGAGAAGGCAGAGGGCUCCGGCUCUGCUUUAGCCAGGGUACCUGCCGAGGAGGACAGAGUGGGCCGGGUAAGUCCUGCGUGGGCACUGCCUGCAGAGCCCCACAGUCCUCUGCAAAUCUCUAGGGUCCGUGUAGCCGACCCCCAGCAGGCAAAGGAAUGCUUUCUUGUGUGGUGCCGUGGAGGAUUUUGGAAACCUGCUGUGGAACUGCAAUCGAAUGGCUUUCAUUUGCAGGCCUUUUCCUUACUGGCAAAUGUGGUGGCAUUUGUGCCGCUGGGUUUCAGGUAGGAAUCAGCGGUAGGUGGCACACUCACCUUCUCAAGGCUUCUAGAGUUCAGGGAAAUGAUUUCAGGAGCUGCAGUACUCAGGGUCCCUCCUGAGGUCACACGGAGUGAGAUUUUCUAGCCCAUAUUCUUUCUCGUUGGUGAACUCAACUCAGGGCUCCAUACGCAUAGGCUUGCUUAUUCCCCCGGCACGGGUUGUGUUAGCCUCGACUGUACCUCUUACACUUCUCGUGGUGUGGCAUUUACUCCUGAUUUAGAGUAUCCUGUAAGCUAUGAGAGGGCGUGUAGACGUCAAGGACGUUCGAGUAAGCCUCAAGAGAACAGAAUCAGAGCGUCCGGACAAAUGGCCCAAAGGAGGUGUCUCUUUUUGACUGUUCACAUCGAAACAAUCAGGAGAGAAGCAGGGAGUGAAAGACGGGGAGUGGGAGAGAAUGGGGUGGGGGGAGGGGAGAGAGAAGAACAGGGGAGUUCAUAGUGAUCAGCCAAGAGAGACCAUUCCUCCACAAGGUUCCAGACUCUCGCUCUGUUGCAGAUAAGUGGUCUCCUUAACCAUGGGCAGGGUGUCGUGCAAGGUGACUAUAGCGUGACUCACUCGUCCAUCUACAAGUCCCACUGAAAGUCAACACAGCAGGGGCGGGAGUGGAAGGGCAGAGGUGACCUGCGCUCAGGUGACCUGCUGUCUCACAAACAAGAGUCCUCACCAUACAAGAGAGGCAGCUUCUAUACUAGCAAGAAGUCCUGGCGACUUAAAUCUCCUGCACCUAGAGCUGAGAGAGUGAGUAACUGAGUUAUAGUAAACCUCCUGGGCAGACUCGGCUGUCCCCAUGAAGAGGGACCCCUUGACUGAGCCAGGGAGAGUGACUGAGCAAACCUGGGCUACACAGAGGUUGAAGGAGCAACAGAGCAUGGCUGUAAGAAAGUAUGACCUAGCGACACUUACAGAAGUGUGCUUAUCUGUACCCUGACGUCACCACUCCCACACAGGGUCCGAUAACAAUGGUGAGCCUUCUCCUGGCCAUGCAGGUUCAUAAGGGUCUAUGCUUCAUGUCAAGGUGACAGAAGUAAAAUGGCUUCGACUGACUGAGAAGCAGCUGCUUCCAAGGCUAAGGCCGACCUGCAGGUUGGAAGGGGUGACAGGGGCGGGGCAAGAACACCCUUUAGGGAGAUACACAGGCAUUGAGCCACAUUUAGGGGUGCCCUAGGGACACCUCAGUCUCCCUCUGCCUUUUCUAUUCAUAAACAAACAAGCAAGCAAAAAUAGAGAGUGUGGCAAAAGACCCAACAGAGAAACAAAGCGACCUCAAGAUAAAAUAUUAAGCCAUGGUUCGAUGGCCGUGUCCAGUCGUUCUUAAGUCCUGAGCCAGUGUCUUGGCAUCUCAGUGGCUUGCAGCAUGACUUCCAAGAGGGAUUAUUUUCCCUACAAUGAUCUGUUCCUUCAGAUGUCAAGCUGUACUUUUCAUCAACCAGUCAGAGCUUCUCGUCACCAGCUGGCUGAUCUCUCCCAUCCCCACCUCCCUGGAAAGGAGUCCUAAUGAUUAGGAAAUAAAUCCCUUAAAGUGGAGUGGGUUUAAAAGCAGGAGGAGAUGCCACACAGGCCACAUUCGAAUUCACUGGGUCUUUGCUUUUAUCUCUCACUUGUCGGCCUUCUAGGUUCCUCCAGCAUCACCCGAAGAGGAGCCUACCUCCCUCCCAGUCCAGAGGAAGGAACCUUGUCACCCUAUGAACACACCCUCCCUGGGGAGCCCAGGAGGGCGGCCAUGGUGCGUGUGAUGGCUAACACUGCCAGCCAGACACAAUCUAGAAUCACCAAAGAGACACGCCUCUGGGUUUAUAAGGGACUAUCUUGAUAGGAUUAAUUGAGGUGUUAAGACCCACCCUACAGAGGUUUGCUGGGCUGGUGUUCUGGACUGAAUACAAAGAAGUCUCUGAUUCUGUCUGCCGCAGGCUCCUGCUGCCACGGUGUGCUAUUUGGUGGAAGCGUGAGCUGAAGCAACUCUUCCUUCCUUAAGUUGCUUUACUAAGGACACUUCAUCACAGCAACAGAAAAGUGAGGUACUCAGUAGCUGUUUGCUGGGUGCCCUGGGUUGGUUCCUUUGUGUCCACACACCCCGUUAGCAGAAGGUAAUGACCAAAACCUCUUUCUCUGAUGGUGGCACUGCACUGGAACCCUGGGAGUAUUACUUGGGCACUUCCGCUGUGUGGACACUAAGGAACCAACCCAGGACAACUCCUUGGACACUCCUUGAGCACUGCAAGAAACACAGGGGCCUGUGGGAAGGGGAAGAGUGAGAUGCCGCGCCACCAUGCUGAGAGACCACCCCGAGUCUGUGGUGGAGACAGAGGACUCGGGGCUGUGCUGUUUUCAGAGGUGGCGAGAGCUUAAGUGCCCAGACUUACCUGUAGGUGUUUCUCAAAGCCAUGGAAAAGCCAGUCUCACAGAGCCAUUAAGGAAAUAAAAAUACAACUUAAAAAGUC